rnacentral:lncRNA from 1 species
GGACUAAAGGGGAACUUUUAGUCCCGGUUAGUAACACCAACCGGGACUAAAGGGCGCGCCAGGCAGUGACGUGGCGCCACCCCUUUUAGUCCCGGUUGGUAAUACCAACCGGUAAUACCAACCGGGACUAAAGGUUUUCUUUUUCUUUUUCCUUUUCAUUUUUUAUUGAUUUUGGUUUUCAAUUUUAUAUGUUCUCCAAUUUAUUCGUAUACGCUGCAACCGGGAAUAAAGGUAGGUCUUUAGUCCCGGUUGGUAACACCAACCGGGACUAAAGGUCCCUCCCCGACAGCGCCUGACACUGGAGCCGUUGGGGAGGGACCUUUAGUCCCAGUUGGUGUUACCAACCGAGACUAAAGACCUUUUUUGUCCCGGGCGCCAAAAAUGACGGGACUAAAGCUCAUUUGGCACAUCGAUGAAAGGUCUGUUCUCUAGUAGUGUAUGGACUAAAAGAUAACUAAUUGCACAUAUUACGACUACUUUGUGAGACAAAUCUUUUAAAUCUAAUUAGUCCAUGAUUCGAUAAUAAAAUACUACAGUAGCACAGGUGGUAAUGGCGGAUUAAUUAUUUGUCUCUCGCGAUUUACUGAUGAUUUCUAUAAUUUAUUUUUUACACUACAAGAAACUUGCUAAUCAGUGACGGAUUCUUGGUGACGGAUUUACAAACCGUCAACAACGUGGAAGCAGCAGCACUAUCCGUGACGAUAUUCUUUUUUCCGUCAAGGAUGAGCCCACUGGAUAUUCCUAGCCCGCUACUUCGUGACAGUUUUAUUAGGAUCGUCAUAGUUUCUGAUUUUAGACUCAUCAUGCUUU